rnacentral:rRNA from 1 species
UAACAAGGAUUCCCCUAGUAACUGCGAGUGAAGCGGGAAAAGCUCAAAUUUAAAAUCUGGCGGUUUCACCGUCCGAGUUGUAAUCUGGAGAAGCGUUUUCCGUGUCGGACCGUGCCAAGUCUCUUGGAACAGAGCGUCAUAGAGGGUGAGAAUCCCGUUUAUGGCACGGACAACCGAUACUUUGUGAUACGUUUUCUAAGAGUCGAGUUGUUUGGGAAUGCAGCUCAAAAUGGGUGGUAAAUUCCAUCUAAAGCUAAAUAUAGGCGAGAGACCGAUAGCGAACAAGUACCGUGAGGGAAAGAUGAAAAGCACUUUGGAAAGAGAGUUAAACAGUACGUGAAAUUGUUGAAAGGGAAACGCUUGAAGUCAGUCGCGUCUUCUAGGACUCAGCCUUGCUUCGGUUAGGUGUACUUCCUGGUUUGACGGGUCAACAUCGAUUUUGAUCGACGGAUAAAGGAGAAGGGAACGUGGCACCUCCGGGUGUGUUAUAGCCCUCUUCGUAUACGUCGAUUGGGAUCGAGGACUGCAGCACGCCCUUGUGGCCGGGGGUUCGCCCUACGUAUCGUGCUUAGGAUGUUGACAUAAUGGCUUUAAGCGACCCGUCUUGAAACACGGACCAAGGAGUCUAACAUGCUCGCGAGUGUUAGGGUGGAAAACCCUUGCGCGUAAUGAAAGUGAAAGUUGGGACCUCUGCGAGGAGGGCACCGACGCCCGGCCCUGAAGUUUUCUGACGGUGCUGCGGUAGAGCGCGUAUGUUGGGACCCGAAAGAUGGUGAACUAUGCCUGAAUAGGGCGAAGCCAGAGGAAACUCUGGUGGAGGCUCGUAGCGAUAUCUGACGUGCAAAUCGAUCGUCAAAUUUGGG